rnacentral:rRNA from 1 species
AGUGAACGCUGGCGGUAGGCCUAACACAUGCAAGUCGAACGGCAGCACAGUAAGAGCUUGCUCUUACGGGUGGCGAGUGGCGGACGGGUGAGGAAUACAUCGGAAUCUACUUUUUCGUGGGGGAUAACGUAGGGAAACUUACGCUAAUACCGCAUACGACCUACGGGUGAAAGCAGGGGAUCUUCGGACCUUGCGCGAUUGAAUGAGCCGAUGUCGGAUUAGCUAGUUGGCGGGGUAAAGGCCCACCAAGGCGACGAUCCGUAGCUGGUCUGAGAGGAUGAUCAGGCAAAAUGGAACCUAGAACACGUCCAGAACUCCAAGGGGAGGCGCCGGUGGGAAUUUUUGAACAUUGGGCGAAGGCCUAUCCCACCCAUACCGCGUGGGUAAGAAGGGCUUUCGGUUUGUAAGCCCCUUUGUUGGGAAAGAAAAGCAGCAGGUUAAUACCCCGCUGUUCUGACGGUACCCAAAGAAUAAGCACCGGCUAACUUCGUG